UACAGGGGGGGCAAGCGUUGUUCGGAAUUACUGGGCGUAAAGGGCCAGUAGGCGGCCAACUAAGUCCGACGUGAAAUCCCUAGGCUUAACCUAGGAACUGCGUCGGAUACUGGAUGGCUUGAAUUCGGGAGAGGGAUGCAGAAUUCCUGGUGUAGCGGUGGAAUGCGCAGAUAUCAGGAGGAACACCGGUGGCGAAGGCGGGUCUCUGGGCCGUAACUGACGCUGAGGAGCGAAAGCAUGGGGAGCGAACAGG
rnacentral:rRNA from 1 species